rnacentral:rRNA from 1 species
AACCUGGUUGAUCCUGCCAGUAACAAUAUGCCUUGUCUCAAAGAUUAAGUGCAACAGUCCUAAAAGUGCACACGGAAGGUACAGUGAAACUGCGAAUGGCUCAUUAAAUCAGUUAUGGUUCCUUUGAUCGCUCCACACGUUACUCGGAUAACUGUGGUAAUUCCAGAGCUAAUACAUGCAAACGAGCGCUGACCGGUCCUCUCUUGGGGGGGGGGCGGGAUGCGUGCAUUUAUCAGACCCAAAACCCACCCGUCCUCUGGCGCCCCCCGGAUGCCCUUGGUUGGGUGGUCCGGUCCUCGGGGUCCGCGAAGCGUUUACUUUGAAAAAAUCAGAGUGUUCAAAGCGGGCACCAAACUCGCCUGAAUGCCUGACUAAGGAAUAAGGGAAUAGGACUCCGGUUCUAUUUUGUGGGUUUCCUGAACCAGGGCCAUGAAUUAAGAGGGACGGCGGGGGCAUUCGUAUUGCGCCGCUAGAGGUGAAAUUCUUGGACCGGCGCAAGAACGGACCCGAAAGCAAAAGCAUUUGCCAAGAAUGUUUUCAUUAAUCAAGAACGAAAGUCGGAGGUUCGAAGACGAUCAGAUACCGUCGUAGUUCCGACGUAAACUAUGCGAACCCGCGAUCCGGCGGCGUUAUGCCCAUGACCCGCCGGGCACGUGCGGUGAAACCAGAGUCUUUGGGUAUGGGGGGCGUAUGGUUGCAAAACUGAAAACUUAAAGGAAUUGACGGAAGGGCACCACCAGGAGUGGAGCCUGCGGCUUAAUUGACUCAACACGGGAACCUCACCCGGCCCGGACCGGAAAGGAUUGACAGACUGAUGGCUCUUUCUUGAUUCUGUGGGUGUGUGCAUGCCGUUCCUUAAGUUGGUGGAUGAUUUGGUCUGUUAUUCCGAUAAUGAACGAAUUCCUUAGUGCUAAAUAGUUACGCGGCCCCCCGCGGUCGCGGUUAACUUCUUAGAGGGACCAGUGGCGUAUAGCCACGCAAGAUGAGCAAAACAGGUCUGUGAUGCCCUUAGAUGUCCGGGGCUGCACGCGCGCCACAAUGGCCGGGCCAGCGUGUGCCUACCCUACGCCGAGAGGCGCGGGUAAUCCGCUUAAACCCGUUCGUGACUGGGAUUGGGGAUUGCAAUUAUUCCCCAUAAACGAGGAAUCCAGUAAGUGCUCGCGCUGAUUAAGUCCUGCCCUUUGUACACACCGCUCGUCGCUACUACCCGAUGGAUUGGUUAUGUGAGGUCCUCGGAUCGGCCAGCCGGGCUCCUGCGCGGGGCCUUGGUGCUGUGCUGAAAAGUCGAUCGAACUUGAUCAUCUAGAGGAAGUAAAAGUCGUAACAAGGAUUCCGUAGGUGAACCCUGCGGAAGGAUCAUUA